rnacentral:ncRNA from 1 species
AUGAACAGCUAAGCUUAUUCAUGCUCAUGAUUAAUGUGGUUCUUGAACAAGAGAUACAUCACUGAUCGUUUCUGCACUUACCCGGUGGGGCGGGAGGCGAGCCCCGAGCGGGACUCUCGCUUCUGGCGCCACCGCCCCGGGGACAGCGGCAGGUGGGGAGGCUGCCCGGGGCGGUCCAGCUCUCGAAGCCUGACGCUGGUGUCCUAAGGCGAGCUCAGGGAGGAGGGAAACCUGCCGUGGAGCAGAAGGGCAUCAGCUGGCUUGAUCUUGAUUUCCAGGACGAAUGUAGCCCGUGAAAGCGGAGCCUCAUGAGCCUUCUGGCUUCGGGGUUUAAGCAGGAGGUGUCAGUGAAGUUAGCAGAGGGAGAACUGGCUUGUGGCGGCCAAGCGUUCAUAGCGACGUCGCUUUUGGCUCCUUCGAUCUCGGCUCUUCCUAUCACCGUGCAGCAGAACUCACCAAGCGUUGGGCUGUUCAGCCGCUAAGAGGGAAGGUGAGCUGGGCUCAGACCGUCGCAGACAGGUUAGUUUUAC